CUUCUGAUUAUGAUCUCGAAACUACUGUUCCGAUUAACCCCGAAAACGGGCUGUUACACUUUUUCUCCAAAGAUUUAGAACUAGGCCCCCCUUAAUCUGACCCAUCUCAACAUAGUCUGCUGGAACUAGACUCUAAGACAGGCCCAACCGAAGGCAUAAUGCCCACUUUAGUCCCAUGGGCCACUUCACCAACCUGACCCACUAACCCCUUAGAAUUAGCCCUACCCAAAACCUCCUUAGAUGAAACCCUAUUUUUAGCACUACUACUACUUCCAGCCGUAUGGUCAUCACCAUGGUUCUCCAAAAAACCCCCGACUGUGCCUCCAAAUCUGCCACCUGAGUCAAUCUCCACAAUCAACGGCGAAAACCUAGAGCCCAACGUUUCCUUUCCCAAAUUUGUUCCACCAUUGAUUCGAGGGUCUUGUUGACCACGCUGGGAUUUUCUCUCCACCGGCAUCCACGGCCCAAAAUCAGCUUUCUUUCCUUCACCAUCCUUACUGACAUCACCGUCUGAAGGCGUCGUCUCCGCAGCUACAAGUUCCCCGGAGCCGGAUUCACCCCCACCGAUGGGCACAACUCCUUCACAUACCCAUAUUUUCCGCAGCUGAAACACACCUUUGGGAGGGCCUCGUAUUCAACCCUUUGCAUGGCGCCAUCAACCAACACCUGAGAUAUCAGUGGUUUAUCAAGAUUGAUGAAAACAGCCAAACGGGCGAACUUUCUUCUAGUUCUGUUGUCGGUUUGCAGGUCUAACUUGACUACUUUUUUUAUUAAACCUCCAAUAACCUCAAUAAUUUAUCUUUUAUAUAGGUACCCCGAAAGCCCCGCCAAUCGAAUCCAGGCCAUCACCACACUAUGGUAAGGUUGUGCUGGAUUGAAUGAUUUCGUCCAUGGUUGUACCGUGAGGUAAUAACCGAAGAUGAUCCAUGGUCCCUAUACUAAUACUUUGUUAUAGUCAUCAAUGUCCUGAAAUUUAACCAAAAAAUACCCAUUAGUAAUAUCCAUUAAAUGAAAAGUUUUCGUAGGCUUCCAUAGAUUAAGAAUACGAUUAUGCAGCACGUCUUAUCCGAUAUUGCGUCCUAAUAGCUUGAGAAUCAUCGUCAAUUCCAUCUCCUUGAAGAGUAGAUCUUUGAUUCAAUUCGAGAAGGCGAUUGCCGGAAUCCCAUUAACCAUGGACGUAUUGAUAUCUCCAUCCAUUAGUUCAAAAUCACUCUUAUUGUUAUCGAGGUUUCCUUCAAGAUUUUCAUCAGGAGGGACAACUCUUCCCCCCAAAAGUUUGUCCUUAAAAAGACAAAACUGGCUGCUGACCAGAGUUAACGACCAUGUUACUGGUUUCUGCAUCAAUCCCUUCCUUGAACCUUACUUUUUUAGCAUUUCGAUCCCCACCAUUGCAAGGUUCACGAUAAGUACAAUUGCUAGAAUUUUCCGUUUCCAUGACCAUUUGAUUUAUCCCCCAGUGAAAAAAAUCCUUUAAAUUUAAAAUUUAAUACAUACUGAUUUCAAUUAGAAGUACAGUGCGUAUAUCGGUAUGGUAUUAACAAUUUUAUUUUUUACUUAAUUUCGUAUAUCUCUUCAUUUAAUUGUGUAUUUAAUUUUUUUUAUCACAAAUGCUACUUAAAAUAUUCUUUCAGUAUCUAUUUUACAUUAAAAUAUUAUAUUGGUUUAAAAAAUUCCAGCUAAUAAUAAACAAUUACGUCAUAUAAAACUUUUUUUUAAUUAUAUUUUUUCCUUUCUUUUUCUUGAUAGGGUUUGACAAUGCUAGCAAUAUUUAAAAUUCUCCCUUCCUCUUGAGGUUCAAACGCUACUAAUUAAUUAUAUUUUUAAACUUUAUAUAAAAAAAUAAAAAGUUCUUUCAUCAAUCAAAAUUAGUUUUUUUACAACUGGAUGGGUCGG
rnacentral:lncRNA from 1 species